rnacentral:hammerhead_ribozyme from 1 species
CGUCGAAACGCUCCAGAUCGGGAGCGUCGCGGAGGGACUGACCGCCCCCGCCUGAUGAUGACAGGUCAAG